rnacentral:rRNA from 1 species
UACGUAGGGGCCUAGCGUUGUCCGGAUUUAUUGGGCGUAAAGAGCUCGUAGGCGGUUUGGUGAGUCGGGUGUGAAAUCUCCACGCUCAACGUGGAGGGGCCGUUCGAUACUGUCGUGACUCGAGUCCGGUAGGGGAGUGUGGAAUUCCCGGUGUAGCGGUGAAAUGCGCAGAGAUCGGGAGGAACACCCGUAGCGAAGGCGGCACUCUGGGCCGGUACUGACGCUGAGGAGCGAAAGCGUGGGGAGCAAACAGG